UGAUUGAAGGUUUUUUCUCUUGCUGCCAAAAGGAACGAAUGUGAGCGAGGCAUCGCGGGUGUAACCGAGUCGUGCCGAGGUAAAAGGACCCGCGAGCGUCGACCGAGGAGCUUGGUUCGCUCAACGUCUCGAUUCGUGUGGCACACACAGUAUCAGUUCAGUGCGUGCACAGCUGCCGGUCGGCGAGUGUCACGUCGCUGGUCAACGGCGCACUCCCCCCAUUUUACUCUCCUCCCCCCCUUUCAAUUAAUAAAAAAAAAAAAAAAAGCGAAAAACAAGAAAGAAAAAAGACACUAAAACGUGUGUGUGCGUAAAAUAUUUAUCAGGGGAAAAAAAACAGUUUCACGUGUUUGUGUCUGUGUCGCGAUUUUCAAAAUAUUAUUUUAAAACAAGAAUUUUAAUUUUUUUUUGUCUUCUCUAAAUGAAGAAAAUAAGGAGAAAAAAAAAUUAAUGAAAAAGUGACAAGUUCCAUUUGUUAGAAUUAACAGGGCACCGGGCCUCGGGGGCCCGGUGUUAUAUAUACUAAAUUAACCCUUUUACCCCGCCCCUAGGUUUAGUCAAGAAAAAGCAAAAAUGUAAAAAAUUCUUCCUAUAAAAGUGAUUUUUUUCUGUGUAUGAGAAUCCUCAUUAUUUUUAUGAAUAGAUAUUUUGGCAGUGAUUGUCAAGGCAGGCGUCGAUGCGCGACUUGAUUGAUAGUUUUUUGUUUGUUUUUCGGUGGCUGAGAAUUUAUAUUGUGUCUCUAAAAGUGUGUGAAACUAAAGUUAUGCAUAAUAAUGAAGAGGAAAAAUUUUGAAUAGUGUCGACGCUAGUUUUUAGUGCCUGACAUAAUUCGUUGUCCUACAAGAGAGACUGCGAGGGGAAAAGAAGAAGAAAAAGAAGAAAAAGAAAAAGAAGAAGAAGAACGAAAAAGAAAGAGAGAAAGAAAUAAAAUAAGAAGAGAAAAG